CGAGUCUUGACCAUAAUGAAAAAAAUAUCCACGAAGUUGGUUUUGCAGUCGACCACUUGCAGCGCUCGCAGCGAUCGAUUUGAAGCGCACGUGAACGGCCCACAACAAAUGUCCACUGCCAUUCUCUCUCCAUCCUUCCGGCUUCUAUUUUUUAUCCUUCCUUUCCCUUCCUCUUUUCUCCCUUCUUUUUUCUCUAGCUAGACCCACAACUGUAGUACAGACGGGAGCGGAGGCGGCGGAGCACGGAGACGCGGGUGGCUGGCGCGGUGCAGCUCGUGGGGGCGGAGCGGCGUAUCCCGCCGGGGAGCGUGGGGUAACUCCGCUCGCUUAGCCACCCAGGGGAAUGGCGGCGAGCGCUGCCCGCGGGGAAGCGGCGGCCAGUUCCUCGCGGCUGCGGUCCCCCCUCCCCCCCGCCCCCUUGCGAGCGCUGCCCACGGGGAAGCGGCGGUGGCCCCGGUGAGCUCCGCGCGGCUGCGGCCCCCCGGCGAGCGCUGCCCGCGGGGAAGCGGCGGUGGCCUGGCGAGCUCCGCGCGGCUGCGGCCCCUCGGCGAGCUCAUCCAUAUCGGUGGCGGUGCCGCCGCUUUUUUCUUUUUCUUUUAUUUAUUUAUGGCUAUAAUAUUAGCUCUCCGUGUUUUCCAGAGUUUGUUCUCCUUUUUUUUCAUUCCCAAGUUUUGCUCAAACAAUUUUUUGGAAUUUUGUUCAUAAUUUUUUCUUCCAAAAGUUUGUUGCAAAAUUUCUCCUCUUUCCCAAAAAGUUUGUUCCCCAAAUUUUUUUCCUUCAUUUAUGUUUCUGAACAUUUUGUUUACAUAAUUUUGUUUCAUUUUCGUCAAAAAAAUUAUAUUCUAAUUUUUUUUUGCAAAAUAUAUGUUGCGAAUAAUUUUUGUCAUAUAUAUUUUCUAAAAAAAUUUGCUUGUAAAUGUGCCCAAAAUUUGAGGAUCGAAACUCCAAGAGGAUAACAAUUCUGUGUGAGGGAACCGCAUGGGUCAGGUGGGACCAAGGUGGCGCACUUGAGGAUGAAGCAGAGUAAAAAGGGGAAUGAGGCGUCGGCGUGAUACCGAAAAGGAAAGAAAACGUCCGGUCGGAAAUCGACCGUAAGUUUUGUUUUUUUACGGGCGAUCGUAAACUAGCUUUGCCCGGGCUGUUUGCAUUAAUAUUAAUAUAUAAUUAAUAGGUUCAAACUCUUCCUGUUCCUUUUUAAAAAAUACCUGCUGCAAAGCAUUUAUACUUGCAGUGGGUCAUGCCAAGAAGAUCCGAAUAAUUUUUGCUGAUGGUAUAAAAAAAUUUGUUGAUGGGCCAUGAAUAUUUUGUUUUAAUGGAUCCGCGUGGGUAGCAAGAUUCGCACAAAUAACCCUGCGAAUACACGGCCAGUCACAGCGAAUGGGCUUAAUACGUUCUCGAACGGAA
rnacentral:lncRNA from 1 species